AGCGUAGCGGCAGCCUUAAAUGCAGUCGACGGUAACAGGUCUUCGGAUGCUGACGAGUGGCGAACGGGUGAGUAAUACAUCGGAACGUGCCCGAUCGUGGGGGAUAACGAAGCGAAAGCUUUGCUAAUACCGCAUAAGAUCUAAGGAUGAAAGCAGGGGACCGCAAGGCCUUGCGCGAACGGAGCGGCCGAUGGCAGAUUAGGUAGUUGGUGGGAUAAAAGCUUACCAAGCCGACGAUCUGUAGCUGGUCUGAGAGGACGACCAGCCACACUGGGACUGAGACACGGCCCAGACUCCUACGGAAGGCAGCAGUGGGGAAUUUUGGACAAUGGGCGGAAAGCCUGAUCCAAGCCAUGCCGCGUGCAGGGAUGAAGGCCUUCGGGUUUGUAAACUGCUUUUGUACGGAAACGAAAAGACUCUGGUUAAUUACCUGGGGUCCAUGACGGUACCGUAAAGAAUAAGCACCGGCUAACUACGUGCCAGCAGCCGCGGUAAAUACGUAGGGUGCAAGCGUUAAUCGGGAAUUACUGGGCGUAAAGCGUGCGCAGGCGGUUAUAUAAGACAGAUGUGAAAUCCCCGGGCUCAACCUGGGAACUGCAUUUUGUGACUGUAUAGCUAGAGUACGGUAGAGGGGGAUGGAAUUCCGCGUGUAGCAGUGAAAUGCGUAGAUAUGCGGAGGAACACCGAUGGCGAAGGCAAUCCCCUGGACCUGUACUGACGCUCAUGCACGAAAGCGUGGGGAGCAAACAGGAUUAGAUACCCUGGUAGUCCACGCCCUAAACGAUGUCAACGGGUUGUUGGGUCUUCACUGACUCAGUAACGAAGCUAACGCGUGAAGUUGACCGCCUGGGGAGUACGGCCGCAAGGUUGAAAACUCAAAGGAAUUGACGGGGACCCGCACAAGCGGUGGAUGAUGUGGUUUAAUUCGAUGCAACGCGAAAAACCUUACCCACCUUUGACAUGUAUGGAAUCCUUUAGAGAUAGAGGAGUGCUCGAAAGAGAGCCAUAACACAGGUGCUGCAUGGCUGUCGUCAGCUCGUGUCGUGAGAUGUUGGGUUAAGUCCCGCAACGAGCGCAACCCUUGCCAUUAGUUGCUACGAAAGGGCACUCUAAUGGGACUGCCGGUGACAAACCGGAGGAAGGUGGGGAUGACGUCAAGUCCUCAUGGCCCUUAUAGGUGGGGCUACACACGUCAUACAAUGGCUGGUACAGAGGGUUGCCAACCCGCGAGGGGGAGCUAAUCCCAUAAAGCCAGUCGUAGUCCGGAUCGCAGUCUGCAACUCGACUGCGUGAAGUCGGAAUCGCUAGUAAUCGCGGAUCAGAAGUCGUCCGAUGCUUG
rnacentral:rRNA from 1 species